rnacentral:rRNA from 1 species
GAUGAACGCUGGCGGCGUGCCUAAUACAUGCAAGUCGAGCGAACAGACGAGGAGCUUGCUCCUCUGACGUUAGCGGCGGACGGGUGAGUAACACGUGGAUAACCUACCUAUAAGACUGGGAUAACUUCGGGAAACCGGAGCUAAUACCGGAUAAUAUAUUGAACCGCAUGGUUCAAUAGUGAAAGACGGUUUUGCUGUCACUUAUAGAUGGAUCCGCGCCGCAUUAGCUAGUUGGUAAGGUAACGGCUUACCAAGGCAACGAUGCGUAGCCGACCUGAGAGGGUGAUCGGCCACACUGGAACUGAGACACGGUCCAGACUCCUACGGGAGGCAGCAGUAGGGACUCUUCCGCAAUGGGCGAAAGCUUGACGGAGCAACGCCGCGUGAGUGCUGAAGGUCUUCGGAUCGUAAAACUCUGUUAUUAGGGAAGAACAAAUGUGUAAGUAACUAUGCACGUCUUGACGGUACCUAAUCAGAAAGCAACGGCUAACUACGUG